AAAAGGAGUAUGUUACUGCAAAACCUGCAAAUCCAUCUAUUGAAUACCAAGCAGUUUCACUGGAGCUAGCUAGUUGACUGGGGGAGGGGAUAGUUAGAACUACUGCAUUUCAUUGCCAACCCUGAACCCUUCUGGAUAAAACAUUUGCAUUUCCUAGGGGGAAAAGAAACUGGUUUGACCCGUUUACCCUGUUGUCUGUUGGCUAAUCAUUUGCUUAUCGCUUUCACCGAGAUUCCUACAAGAGAGGGCUAGGUCAUACUUAAACCAGCCCUGUUUCUUAUGGAUAUUUUGAACAGUAGGUUGAGGUUCAAACACACACACACACACACACUUUAACAUUUAAAUAUUCUGACAGAUGUAAAAAGAAGCAGAACCAGUUCUUUCUGUCCUCCAUUCAGACCACUGACAAAACCAAGAAAUAAGAAUCAAACAAACAGCCAUUCUUCUCAAUGCUUCAGACAAAGCAAGAGAGCUACAGCGGCGUUUCCCUUAUUCUGUAGCUUAGCCCUAGCCCAGUCCUGGAGUAGAAGACUGAAGCAGAGCCCUAGCCCAGUCCUGGAGUAGAAGACUGAAGCAGAGCACCUAGCCCAGUCCUGGAGUAGAAGACUGAAGCAGAGCCCUAGCCCAGUCCUGGAGUAGAAGACUGAAGCAGAGCCCUAGCCCAGUCCUGGAGUAGAAGACUGAAGCAGAGCCCCAGUCCUGGAGUAGAAGACUGANNNNNNNNNNCAGCAGCAGCAGAAAGGCAGCUCAGAGAGUUAAAAGCCUGCCCGGUCCUACUCAUAGGUAUAAGGCCAUCAAUAAUUCACCGUCAUCGGGAAGCAUUAUCUAACAGCCUGAUAAAAUAUUUAAAAUGGUGGGUGACAACACAGAAACAGUGAAGAAGUGCUCCAUAAGAGGACGAAAGAGAAGGACACUGCAGGUGGCGACAGAGGGAGGGAGUUCGCAACAGAUGUGACGUUGCUGCGGCAACUGAAGUGGGAGAAGAAGUCUCCCUUCCAAAGUGGAAGUACAGGCUCUAUGCAACAGUGGGCGUACGGGCUCUAUGCAACAGUGGGCGUACGGGCUCUAUGCAACAGUGGGCGUACGGGCUCUAUGCAACAGUGGGCGUACGGGCUCUAUGCAACAGUGGGCGUACGGGCUCUAUGCAACAG
rnacentral:lncRNA from 13 species